AACGUAGGACACAAGCGUUAUCCGGAGUUACUGGGCGUAAGGACGGCGUAGGUGGCGCCGCAAGUCCAUGGUGAAAGCUCGAUGCUCAACAUCGAGUCGGCCACGGAGACUGCGGGGCUCGAGCACUGUAGGGGCAGAUGGAAUUCCGGGUGUAGCGGUGGAAUGCGUAGAGAUCCGGAAGAACACCGGUGGCGAAGGCGGUCUGCUGGGCAGUUGCUGACACUGAGGCGCGGACAGCUAGGGGAGCGAACAGG
rnacentral:rRNA from 1 species